UUGAAUAUGCAUCUCUGUUUGGAACAACUUACUGCUGUGAGCAGUUCUUUUCAAAACUUACCAUUGCAAAGAGUCGACUGCGCUCCAGACUGACCGACGCAAACCUGGAAAACCAGUUGCGAGUAGCAACAUCAUCAGUACCAGCUAACAUCAAAAGCCUGACCAAAGAGAAGCAGUUCCAACCAUCACAUUAAGGAUUUCCUGCACUUCAAGAAAAUAAAAAAAGUCCAAGAAAACAACAAAGAGCUGCACUACAGGAGACAAACGCCCACAAAGAGCAAUACAGUGCAAGGUUAAGAGUCUUCAUUUUUCUAUUACCCUCUGCAGAAGUUUCCAGUCACCAUGCAGGAAGACAGGUAGGAGGAGAUCAUCUGGCAAAGAGAUUUGCAGAGUGUCGGGUGACCGGCAAAGAGAUCUGCAAAGUGUCAGUUGAAGACGAUGGGAGGGGUCACAGAGGUAGCAACGACUGGAGUAUAACAUGCAGGAGAUCAUCAUUUGGCAAAGUUCUGGCAAAGAGAUUUGCAGAGUGUCGGGUGACCGGCAAAGAGAUCUGCAAAGUGUCAGUUGAAGACGACGGGAGGAGUCGCAGAGGAAUUAGUGACUGGAGAAUAGCAUGCAGGAGUGGGUGAUCCCUGAAUAGCUGCCCUGGGAGGAGAGCUGCGGACACAUGCUCCAAAUGUUGGGACAUAUGCAUUACCUAUUAGGAGAUGCGGUAAAGAUGCCGGAUGUUGGGUUUACAGCAGUCAGAAUACUGACACUGGGAUCCCGACACUCUUCAGAAUCCCGACGUUGGAACGCCGAAUGGACAAGGAUACCGACACCCGUAUCCCCAGGAUCAUAGGUUUAGGGCUGGGCAAGGGGAGUUAGGUUUAGGUAUCAGGC